CCCCAUUCCUUUCAAGUUGGGCGACCCAUUCUUUUCAUCAAAAAAUUUCUAUGGCAACACCCCCAACGCCACACCACACACCCACAUCACUGUCGUUAAUACUGCAACUGCUAACCCAGAAAAUGCCUUUUUUCUUUUAUUGUGUCUGACUUCGUGACCCCAUUUGGGGGUUUUCUUGGCAAAGAUAUUGGAGCAGUUUGCCAUUUCCUUCUCCGGCUCCUGCAAACAGGAUUAAGAGCCGUUAGUGACAAACAUAUGUGGUGAGUGCGCAUAAGACUUUGCGGACUCCUUGCCACGCCCAGCUUUUGAAAACCAUGGCUACUAGAAGAAAAGAGGAUUGGGGGGACUUAGAAUUUUCCCUGGGUUCAGGUUUUCUUAUCAACAAAACAAUAGGAUUAGCCUCGGAUCUCUAAGCGCCCUCAGGAUUUUUUACAGGGUUUUUACAAGCUUUUCUUGUAAAGCCAAUCCCCUUGGGAGAUAGGAACGCAAGAAACUCGGCGAAUGAGUAUCAUGAGGAGAGAGUACUCAAUGACUAUACAAUCUUCAGUGAUCCAUUAGAGCCAUCAGAGACCCCUCAGCAACCAGUCAGUAGUAAAGCCCACUAGAGACAUCAACAAUUGCCAACGAGAGAGAAAGUGCCUACAGAUGGAUGUAGAAGGUUGGUCAUCACCUGAGGAGGGUAGUGGAUCCUAGGAUUGGUGCCUUUCUAAAGUCCAUAGCCAACACUUCUCUCCAUCAUGAGUAGUCACAAUCCCUGAAGCUGCUUCCAUAUAGACCAUAAAGCAAUAAAAAUAGUAAUCAAUUUUAAAUGUACAAGCAAAAGACAUGGACUUAAAUGGAGAUUUAAUCAUGGAAUAUUUAAUAAAAAGGGGUCAUAUUAUGUCAUGAAAGCAAUUAACAACUAUGUAAAAGGAAAUCAAAAUGAUGGCAACAUACCAAAUUUUCUGAGAUGCAGCUAAAGCAGUCCUCAGAGCAAAAAUUAUAUCCCUAAAACAUAUAUUAACAAAAUAGAAAAAGAAA